rnacentral:rRNA from 1 species
CAGUCGCCACGGUAAUGCGUAGGGGGCAAGCGUAGUCCGGAAUUAUUGGGCGUAAAGCGCGCGCAGGCGGUUUUUUAAGUCUGGUGUCUAAGUGCGGGGCUCAACCCCGUGACGCACUGGAAACUGGGAGACUUGAGUGCAGAAGAGGAGAGCGGAAUUCCACGUGUAGCGGUGAAAUGCGUAGAGAUGUGGAGGAACACCAGUGGCGAAGGCGGCUCUCUGGACUGUAACUGACGCUGAGGAGCGAAAGCGUGGGGAGCGAACAGGAUUAGAUACCCCAGUAGUCCCUGUCUCUUAUACA